GACGAACGCUGGCGGCGUGCUUAACACAUGCAAGUCGAACGGAAAGGCCCUGCUUUUGUGGGGUGCUCGAGUGGCGAACGGGUGAGUAACACGUGAGUAACCUGCCCUUGUCUUUGGGAUAACUUCAGGAAACUGGGGCGAAUACCGGAUAGAAGCUCCUGAUGCAUGGUGGGGGUUGGAAAGAUUCGGCGGUAGUGGAUGGUCUGGCGGCUUAUCAGCUUGUUGGUGGGGUAGUUGCUGACCAAGGCUUUGACGGGUAGGCGGCCUGAGAGGGUUAACGGCGACAUUGGGACUGAGAGACGGCGCAGACUCCUACGGGAGGCAGCAGUGGGGAAUAUUGCACAAUGGGCGGGAGUCUGAUGCAGCAACGCCGCGUGCGGGAUGACGGGCUUCGGGUUGUAAACCGCUUUCGCCUGUGACGAAGCGGGAGUGACGGUAAUGGGUAAAGAAGCACCGGCUAACUACGUG
rnacentral:rRNA from 1 species